GACGAACGCUGGCGGCGUGCCUAAUACAUGCAAGUCGAACGAACAGCGCCUGAGUGCUUGCGCUUGGUCAAGGUGCGCGGGGAACGGGUGCGUAACACGUGGGUCACCUACUUCAUAGUGGGGGUUAACAGUCGGAAACGACUGCUAAUACCGCAUAGUACAUAGGAACACAUGAUCCAGUGAGGAACGAUGGCGCAAGCUAUCGCUCUGCGAUGGAUCCGAAGUGUAUUAGCUAGUAGGUAGGGUAAAGGCAUACGAAGGCAAGGACACAUAGCCGACCUGAGAGGGUGAUCGGCCAGAUUGGGAGAGAGACACAGCCCAAACACUGGAGGGAAGAAGCAGUAGGGAAUCUUCCGCGAUGGAGGAAAGUCGGACGGAGCAACGCCGCGGGAGGGAUGAAGGUGUUCGGAUCGGAAAGCGCUGUUGGUAGAGAAGAACUGAGCAUAGAGUAACUACGAAGCGGGUGACGGUACCUAACCAGAAAGCCACGGCUAACUACGUG
rnacentral:rRNA from 1 species